rnacentral:lncRNA from 1 species
GUCACAAGCUAAACUCACCUGAGAGGUAUAAAACUCAAUUGAAAAAUGUCUCCAUUUUGAGGAACUGUGAGUGAAAUAAACCCUUUCCUCUCCCUAUUGCAUUGGUCAUGGUGUUUUAUCACAGCAGUGGAAAUCAUACCUAAGACAAGUAGGUACCAGAAUAGAGGGGCAUUGCUGUGACAGACCUGAUCAGGUUUUGGUAAAAAUUGUGCAAGGACUUUGUAACUAUGGGCUACAAGAACUAUUAAGUAUCAAGAGCUCAAUGGACUGUUUUGUUGGAGUUUUGAAGAUAAAAAUGUCAAGAACCAUACAGACAAUGGAGGCUUGACUUGUGAAAUCAGAAGGCAUGAAAGGUACAGAGCCAUUUAUGGAGAGAAUCUGUGGCAUCUGGUCAGUUAGAGCUGUGAAUAACAAGAGAAAAGAAGCAAUAAAGUGAAUUUGUUUUAUUGGAGGAGUUGAAAUUGGCUAGUUGGGGCUAAGAAAUUAGCAUUGAUUAAGAAGCCAGCAUCAUUGAGGUGAAAUAUUCUGAGAAGUAUUUUCUGAAUAUCAAUUCAAAGAAGCUAUGUUCUAGAAACAACUAAGAUUGUUUCUCAUGCUGGCAGCUGAACUUGGGUGUGUAGGAGUUGCCCAGGUAGUGCUAAUUUCUAAGUCAUAAUGGGAUCAUGGAGAACAGCUGAGAAAGCACUUUGAGAGUCCAGAAAAGACCCACCAUUGGUGAAGUUGCAGCCUCAGUAGCAGUUUGAACACACAAGACUAAAGGGGUCAUGAAAAACAAGUUGAGGCUUGGCACUAUGGAAAACCUAGAAAAGGCUGUUGGUGAAAGUACUAUCAAUUGCAGCAGAUCCCAGCAUUUUGUAGAUGUUAGUAUCAUGGGAUUUAAAACAAGAACAGUGGCAGUCAAGUUGACCUGCACAAGUUUAGAAGGAGAGCUGUGUGGGCUGCAGAACGUAGAGCUGGUGAAGUGAGUCAAAAGGUACCUGGAUGGUGAGUACUGCCCAGAUAUUAGACAUUAUCUUAUUUACAUCGUCAGGAGGUUGUCUUUACUUUGAUCACUGGUUAUUCUCUCUUGAAGUAGGAAAGUAUUUAACUUAUUUUUUACUUUAUAGGAGCCCACAGUUUGACUUAGAAAUUUUUAGAGAGAUUUUUGGAUUUUUAAAGAGACUUGAUUAUUUUUUUUUUUACAGAGACUGAAUUUUAAUGUGUUUGAACUUGUAAAGAGUAUGAGACCUUUAAAUAUUUUUAUGUUACCAAUGUGAUAUAUUGUUGAUGAAUGAGAAAGAAAAUCCUGUGGCUUGAAAGUAAUGUGUUUGUGUAUCAAAUGGAAAAAUGUCAGUUGUGCUGGAUAGGUCCAUGUCAACUGGACAUAGGUUAAACUACCUGAGAGGGGAGAAUGUCAAUUAAGAAAAUGCCUCCACAAGAUCAGGCUGUAGGCAAACAAAUGUGUAGGACAUUUCUUAAUUAUUAAUUGAUGAUAGAGGGCCCAACCAAUUGUGGGUGGUGCCAUCUAUGGGCUGGUGAUCCUGUGUUCAAUAAGAAAACAGGCUAAGGAUAUCAUGGGGAGUCAGUCAGUAGGCAGUACUUGAACUCUUUUAUGUGGUACUAUAAGUGAAAUGAACUUUGUUUGCCCCUCCCCCAUUGCAUUCGAUCAUGGUGUUCAAUAGAACAGCAAUAGAAAGUCUGAGUCUUCAAAGAGAAGAGGCAAACCUCCGGUUCUCAGAAAUGAUCCUCACACUCUUCUGCAUCAAGACCUAGGUUCAUUUAUAUUGCCUAUCACAUGUAAAAAUAUACUUGCUUAUAGUCAGAAGACCUCUGGCAUUUGUUUCAUACCACUCGCAUAUGUCCAUGUUUUUUGUAAAACUUAAAAGUAUUGUCUUCUAAAAUUUCCUCAUUGAAAUUCAGUAUUUUAGACUAAAAAGUCUUAGGUAUGCCCAGCAAUUACAUAUUCCAAGUUAUAAUGAAUGUGAAUAUCAUAUAAUUGCAACUGAGGACAUUGAGUCAAAUGUGCUAUGAUUUGAGAGAGCUGUUGAUUAACUAUACUAGGGAAAAAAGAUGCUCUGGUAGAGCACAAAUUUCCAAAUUAAUUUACUUUUCACAAACAAUUCUAUUCUUUCAAAGAAAGAGUAUUUUAAUUGGGUAACACCAAUCCAUAUUCCUUCUGGGGGAUCUGUCCUGAUUGCAUAUAUGUUCCAAUUCCUCAUUAUUGAUUAGAUGGACAAAGUUUACCAUUUCAACCAAUUGAAGUUUUCUAAUUUAUCUAUAAAGAAUCAACUUGGACUCUGUGAGAUAUCCUAAUAGCUAAAAGUAUUUGCCAUACAAUACUGACAUUCUGAAUUAAUCCUCAAAACCCACACUGAAAAGAACCAUAUCUAAUGCUAAAUUGCACUCCUUUCUGCACAUAUACCAUGACACAUUCAUGUGUGUUCUAUAUCUAUCUCUCUGUCCCUCUGUCCCUCUGUCACUCUCUUACUACUACUACUACAACUAUUAAAUGGGAAAUGUAAUGGGGGGUGGAUAUGGAAGACUUUUGGGAUAGCAUUGGAAAUGUAAAUGAGCUAAAUAUCU